rnacentral:lncRNA from 1 species
GAGUGGAGAAAUAGAAAUAUGUACAUGAUCAAUUUUUAGUAGGUAUUGCACUUCCACGGAUCCAUGUAUACCUCACCUAACAGUUAUUGGUGACGCAUGAAUUAAUGAGUAGACAAUAUUUUGUUCAUUGCUUCACUAAGCAAGAUCAGCAGGUUCGAUCUCUAAGUCAUGUGGCCUCACUUAACAGUUAUUGACAUAUUUAUUAGUUAAGUCAGAUCCACUGUACACCAGCGGACGGAAAGCCAUCAUUGGGUUUAGUUAUUGGGCCCAACCUUAUCUUUUCCCCAGAGCAUUCAAUGUCAUAGAGUGGUUGUACCUUCUCGAUAUAACCAAACUACUGUGAUCAAUUGAGAAUGAUCAACACCAGAAAGGCACCCACAUCUCUACAACAGUGGAAGACCCCUAAACCUAAUAUUUGAUUGAGG